GUUCUCCGUAGAUUGCCAGCAGAGGAGAGGCUGAUGGGUGGCAUGAUGCAUGCUGGCACCCAUGACACCAGCGUGCUGCAUCACCACUUGGGCAGCGGUCAGGCUGUGCCGCCUUCGCCCACAGCAUCUCGGCCAGCGCCUCUGUUGCCUGCUUGCAGUUGUUUCUCCUUCUUGAACAAAACAUUGCCAAGACGCUGUUGAUGCUGCUCAGCCAGAUUUCCUCAGGGCUCUGGCACACCAGGUGAGGAACCAGCCAGCUUUUCUGACGAGAAAAGCUGUCUUAGGUCUGUCACCCUGGAAAGUACAGCGCUUUUUUGUUUAGUUUUAUUUUUUCCCUGCAGGAUGCUCAAGGGGUAAGGUUAUGCCAAAGUUGGAUAUAUAAACAAAGAAAAAAAAGGAAAAACGUUGUUCCCUUUACUCUUCUUGGCAAAGGCAGUUUCUUGGUUAUGUUGAAUAUUGCUACAUGUGUUGUUAGAGAAGAGAAAAAAAAAAAAGACUGUCUUAAAAUAAUUUAAUUCUAGCUCCGAUAGUGUUAUAGUGUUUUGAUUCCACUGCUAAUAUUUUAGUGCCGUUCUUGAACUAAAAUUCUUGUAUGUUUCCUAUUUUCUUUCUGAAAACAAUGUUUGGUAAGAACUGUUGAUUUUUUAAGUCCGUAAAGCUGGUCAUUGUAAGCCAAGACAUAGCAGGCUGACUGGUGACCUUGUCUUGCUUUUGGCUGGGCUUUCUUUAGCCUGGUGUGACCAGGUUCAGCAGUUGUUUUCCUGUUUUGACAUUUUUGGUCACUGUGCUGCUUCUAAAUAUGCAGACACUUACUGCUGAGUCCUUGACACUCCCCUUUUUACUCUUCCCUCCCACCCCCUGAAAAAAUAUAGGUGACUUCUGAAAAUACGAAUGCAUUGGGUAAAGUUGGCUUGUGAGUUCUGUUUGUGGUACAAAGAGAAGGAGAAUUAAAUGAGUGAAUCUGAGCAGUAAAGAAAAAGUGGAAAGGUACUAAGAGCUUAUGUGAAGAAUAAGGGUGUCAUGACUGGGAGGGUAAG
rnacentral:lncRNA from 1 species